AUUGAACGCUGGCGGCAGGCCUAACACAUGCAAGUCGGACGAGCGGCGGACGGGUGAGUAAUGUCUGGGAAACUGCCCGAUGGAGGGGGAUAACUACUGGAAACGGUAGCUAAUACCACAUACCAUCAGAUGAACCCAAAUGGGAUUAGCUAGUAGGUGGGGUAACGGCUCACCUAGGAGACGAUCCCUAGCUGGUCUGAGAGGAUGAACAGCCACACUGGGACUGAGACACGGCCCAGACUCCGACGUGAGGCAGCAGUGGGGAAUAUUGCACAAUGGGCGCAAGCCUGAUGCAGCCAUGCCGCGUGUAUGAAGAAGGCCUUCGGGUUGUAAAGUACUUUCAGCCGGGAGGCGUUACUCGCAGAAGAAGCACCGGCUAACUCCGUGCCAGCCGCCGCGGUAAUAC
rnacentral:rRNA from 1 species